UACGAAGGUGGCAAGCGUUGUUCGGAUUUCCUGGGCGUAAAGGGAGCGUAGGUGGUUAGGUAAGCCCUCCGGGAAAUCUUCAGGCUUAACCUGAAAAGGUCGGGGGGGACUGCCUGGCUAGAGGACGGGAGAGGAGCGCGGAAUUCCCGGUGUAGCGGUGAAAUGCGUAGAGAUCGGGAGGAAGGCCGGUGGCGAAGGCGGCGCUCUGGAACGUUUCUGACACUGAGGCUCGAAAGCGUGGGGAGCAAACAGG
rnacentral:rRNA from 1 species